UACGAAGGGGGCUAGCGUUGCUCGGAAUUACUGGGCGUAAAGGGCGCGUAGGCGGUUUGUACAGUCAGAUGUGAAAUUCCCGGGCUCAACCUGGGGGCUGCAUUUGAUACGUAUGGACUUGAGGCCGGGAGAGGUGAGUGGAAUUCCCAGCGUAGCGGUGAAAUGCGUAGAUAUUGGGAGGAACACCAGUGGCGAAGGCGGCUCACUGGACCGGUUCUGACGCUGAAGCGCGAAAGCGUGGGGAGCAAACGGG
rnacentral:rRNA from 1 species